GAUGAACGCUGACAGAAUGCUUAACACAUGCAAGUCGAUGGGGAAGUGGUGCUUGCACCAUGGUAACCAUGGCGGACGGGUGAGUAACGCGUAAGGAACUUACCUGCGGGACCGGGAUAACAGCAGGAAACUGCUGACAAGACCGGAUAAGGUCAUUAAGCUGCAUAGCUUAGUGAUGAAAGGAGACGCCUGCGGAGAGCCUUGCGUCCUAUUAGCUAGUUGGAGGGGUAACGGCCCACCAAGGCGAAGAUAGGUAGCCGGCCUGAGAGGGUGGACGGCCACAAGGGGACUGAGAUACGGCCCUUACUCCUACGGGAGGCAGCAGUGGGGAAUAUUGGACAAUGGAGGCAACCCUGAUCCAGCAAUUCUGUGUGCACGAAGACGGUUUUCGGAUUGUAAAGUGCUUUCAGCAGGGAAGAAGGAAGUGACGGUACCUGCAGAAGAAGCGACGGCUAAAUACGUG
rnacentral:rRNA from 1 species